AACGAACGCUGGCGGCAGGCCUAACACAUGCAAGUCGAGCGCAGUCCUUCGGGACCGAGCGGCGGACGGGUUAGUAACGCGUGGGAACAUACCCCUUUCUACGGAAUAGCCUCGGGAAACUGAGAGUAAUACCGUAUAAGCCCUUCGGGGGAAAGAUUUAUCGGGAAGGGAUUGGCCCGCGUUAGAUUAGAUAGUUGGUGGGGUAAUGGCCUACCAAGUCUACGAUCUAUAGCUGGUUUUAGAGGAUGAUCAGCAACACUGGGACUGAGACACGGCCCAGACUCCUACGGGAGGCAGCAGUGGGGAAUCUUAGACAAUGGGCGCAAGCCUGAUCUAGCCAUGCCGCGUGUGUGAUGAAGGUCUUAGGAUCGUAAAGCACUUUCGCCAGGGAUGAUAAUGACAGUACCUGUAACGAGCCUGACCCCA
rnacentral:rRNA from 1 species